AAGUGACUGUUCUGGAGUCUGAGAAGCAGGCUUGGGAGAGCUCCCCUGAAGCUCUGGCAAUCAAAGAAGCACUGAAUCCAUGGAGAAACCAUGACGCAAAAGCAAGAAAAAACUCCUAAUUUCUAGCCUUGGGAUGAAAAUUUUCUUCUGCAAGGGAAGAUGUUGCUGUGUAGGUAGCUAGCUGGAGUCGUGGAGCCAUAUAUGUUUGAAUGUAACUAUUUCAAUGUUUAACAAUCUCUUUCUUUGAUCAUUUUUGAGCUUCUAAAACAUAAUUAGUGCUGUAAAAAAUAAGGUUCAUGACAUGUAUUUGACAACAUUAGCAUAAUGAUGAUAUGAAGCUUAGUGGCGGUUCACACUUGA